GUAAUGGCUAAAUAUAUUCAAAAUUUGCUUAAAAAGUAUAAAUGCUUCAGACAAGAAGAGUAAGGGAGACAGAAAAAGGAAAUAGAGUCUUGUAUGCAGCUAACAUCAUACUUCGUGGUGAAAAUGAAAUGCAUUUCUCCCAAGACUAGAAAUGAGGCAAGAAUAUCCACUCUCAAUAUUUCUAUUGAACAUUUUACUGAUCCUCCUCAAGCCAGUGGAAUAAAGCAAUGAAAACAGAUGAUAUAUGGAUUACCAAGGAAGAUGUAAUACAUUCUUUCUCUUGCAAUAGGUUAUAUUCAGAAAAUUUUAUAUAUGGAUAAUUUUAAAACAGGGAUCUACAGAUCUUUCUUAAGGGGCCAUUUACUAAAUAUUUCAGGCUUGCAGGCCAUACAGUCUAUUUUGCAACUAUUCAGCUCUGAAAUUGUAGUUUGCAAGCAGCCAUAGAUAAAAUGUAAACAGGUGGCUGUGUCUGUAUUCCAAUAAAGUUUAGUUUACAAAAACAAACCAGUGGUGUCAGAGAAAACGGAGGAGCAGGGAACUCUAGGGUCCAUCCCUCCCCAGAAACACCAAAACACAGAGCAUUAAUGCCAGAAUCAACCUUAUUGGAACUCUGGGAGAUAUUCUAAGGUUUAUAGAAAUCCAGCACAUGCUUAGCCAGGAUAGAGGCCACUGGAACAGGGUGGGAGACUAUCAUGGCUUAUUAACUAACCCUUAUCCUAAAUCCCUGUGCAUAUGGUGGUUGUCUUGAAGAUGGCAGCCCAUGUUCCUGGUGUGGAUAGAUGGUUCUUGAGGGAGCAGAGCAGCCCUUGUUACCAGGGAAUUGUGUCUGUCUGUUUUGAACUGACUGGGGUUCCCUCCCUCCCCAGGAUGGCCACAAGGGGCUUCAUUUGUUUUGCCUAAUUUGGAACUCUAGAGAAGCUCUGCCACGCUCACAACAAUGACAGCCAAAUGAAAAAGACGCUGCUUCCCCAGGGGGACAAAAUAACAAGCAACCAAUAAACACACCAGAUUUUGGUAGAAAAGCCAGGGAGUGAGGAUUUGGAGGGAAAAGAGAUUUUUAAAAGCUGCUGUGCAUCCAUAUGGGGGGGAAUGCUCAGAUCAUGAACAUGCUCACAAAAGACCCAAGAAGGCAAUAAGCUUUCAACUGUGGUUGGACUUGGGACUCAGAACAAGCAGGAAAUAUAAACCAGGCAGAGUGGCAAGUGGCCGGGCUAAACUUUAAAAGUGUGUCCCACACAGAGUUAAUCUGCAAAAAUAUGAAGAGUAGUAUUUUCUUUUUUUUUGAAAUCAUAGAAAGGAAAUUAGAAAAUACUUUGAGAUGAAUUAAUAUGAAAAAAUAACAAAUCGGAUGCAGCAAAAGCAAUGGUUGGAGGGAAAUUUACAGCUGUAAAUGCCUACAUUAAAAAAGAAUAAAUAUCUCAACUCAGUAACCCAGCUUUAUACCUUUAGGAACUAGAGAAAAGAAGAGUGCAAUAAAUCGAAAUAAGCAGAAGAAAGGAAAUGAUAUAGAUUACAACAGAGAUAAAUGAAAUAAGUGUAGAAAAAUAGAGGAAAUCAUUAAAACUAAAAAUUGAGACUUUGAAAGGAAGAAAACUGACAAACCUUUACCUAGAGUGACUAAGAAAACCAGAGAUAAGAUGCAAAUAAUCUAAAAAUCAGAAGUAAAAGAAGAGACAAUACUAACAAUUUUACAGAAAUAAAAAGGAUUGUAAGAGAAUACUAUGAACAAU
rnacentral:lncRNA from 1 species